UCCAUUAGGGGGUCUUCUAGUCAUGGUGGCAUAAUCCUGGAUUGUGAUUAAUGACAAUUUUAUAACAAAAUAUUGCCACCAGAACUUUCCGGUUUAUGAAUACAAGAUAUUGACCCAGACACGAAAUGAAAUGAUUCCUUACAACAGAAGUCAACCAAGGAACAUUCUAUUAAAACUGGCUCUGACUUACAUACUGAAAUGAGUCACACUGUGAAAGCUGCAGAAAGGACAGAAAACCAAGAAGGGCCUCCUCACACCCUGAUUAAACGCUGGAAGCAGACCCUGUGCUGUAACAACGCUCUGGCCACUCCUGAAAAAGCGGAUCUUGGGGAGGAAACCGCAGGCUCUCUUAUUAGGGCUCACAGCAUUCUACUGUAAACUCACUGCAGGCCUCGGCUCCAGCAAGACUCAUCCGUUCAAGCCUUUAAAUUACCCGACUUGCGGGCCAGUGGCAACUGAACGGCACUGGUGGCGGAGGGCGGUUGCUGCGCGAGUGAAGUGGCCUCCGUGUUUGCUAACCCCGCUAUUAUACUGCCCCGCUUGGAAACUUAAAGCGCUUCAGACAUCAGAUCUCACUCACUUCCUAAAUAGGCUUACGUCCGCGCGGCCACAGCCAUUGGGCAGGAGGGAGCCCCGAGUGCGCCAAGAACCCAGAGACCGUCCGGGGCUCGGCGCCUCCGACUGCGGUCGUAAUUUGAUCCUCAAAAUGCAAUCAUUUAAUUGAAAAAGGACUAAAAGCUGCCUGUAGGCCGGAUCCGUGGACUGCAGGGACUCAGGCACUGGAGGUGACCGGCGCCUGGCAGCUUCUCCUGAGUGGGGGUGGGAUCGUCGAGGAAAGGGGGCGGCCCCUUCAAGCGCACAAGGACACAGGCCGUCCUAACCCGGGACGCAGGGCCCAGGCGCCACGAGGACACCCCCACCCCGGAGGGACCCUAACGGAGGCUUCCCCGCGGCGCCGAGCCGAGGCCGAGGCGGGCACCGGGACAGCGAGGGGCGCGCCUAGGAAGGGCACGGUGUAGCCCCGGAGCCACGUGGCCGGCUCCCGCGUCCAGAAGGUCGGAGCCCACUUACCCA